ensembl:lncRNA
GGGGGGGGGUGGUGGUGGGGCAAUGGGGCUGCAGGCAUUGUCUGGGUGAGCCUCCACAAGGAAGCCCUGAAGUCCCUCCUGGCUCAAAGCAGCCCCAAAGAGAGCUGGGAGGUCUGCAAAGUCCAUGCUGGCAUUGUGGUCCGAGAUCGCUCGAAUGAGCCCCCGGCUGGGGGCCGCUCCCCACAGCACAGUGACCACAACCACAGGAAGCGGGAAGGCCGCAGGGUGCAUGGCAGCGGGAGGAGAGGCGGAGGGGGCCGAGUCCGGGUAACAGGAACAGAACCGGAGUUCUGCGCCCUCUCUGGCCCUCCUUCAGGAUCCCAGGGGUCCAACCACCCCCAGGUCCCACUUCCCAGCUACAUGGGGGCUCGGGGAAGGACCUCCGACUCGGGGAGUGAGGUACCCAACUAGUCUAUUGGAGCUGGGAGGGAGAGACUAAAAAUAAUCCUUUUCUGGUAUAGUAAUAAAACUGGGAAAGGGAACGGAGACCAGCACAGGUGACAGAAAAACUUCUGGAAGGGUGGAGCUCAAAGGGGCGGGACUUCCGGCCAGGUGGGCCGUCUUCCCAUCCCCUGGAAAAGAGUUUCCGGCAAAGAAAGUCAGGCCGCUUCCAGCAUUGGACGCUCACGACUAAGGACAUCCGGUUCUGUCCUCCUGGCCGCCGCGGUACCUUCAAGUCUUCGCGAGAGGCCUCAGCACCUUUCCCCCCCACCAGCUGACAUCUUCCUCAACUCUACCUUGGCUCCAGCUCAGGCUAACACUAUUAGGAAGUGAAUUCCAUCCUGAUUCAACCCCUGCUGCUGCUGCUGCUAAGUCGCUUCAGUCGUGUCCGACUCUGUGCGACCCCAUAGACGGCAGCCCACCAGGCUCCCCCGUCCCUGGGAUUCUCCAGAUGCAGAGAUAGGACCCUUGUUUAUGAAUUUCCAAGCCUAAAUUUCUUAUACUGCAUCAUGCAUCUCCUCAAUGUUCGGCACUAAUGAGACCAUUGCCCACCAGGCUCCUCUGUCCAUGGAAUUCUCCAGGCAAGAAUACCAGAGUGGAUUGCCAUUUCCUUCUUCAGGGGAUCCUCCUGACCCAGGGAUCGAACCUGCAUCUCCUUCGUUGCAGGUAUUUAUCCUGGGCUCCUAGCAUCUGCAAGCUAAGUUUGUUCCUCUGAAAAUAUUGGGAGACUGGCAAGAGA